AUUUUUUCUUUCUUUUUUCCUUGGUUUUUUUUAAAAGUGUAAAUGAAUGUCGAGGGGAGGAUGGAAAUAAAAUCGCUGCGUGCAACAAAGGUCUUAUGCAACAGUACUGCACAUUCUCACUUUCGGUUUGUUAUAAGAUACUGAAACGUGGAGCUUCUUAUGCCGACACCUUUAU